UACGUAGGGGGCAAGCGUUGUCCGGAAUCAUUGGGCGUAAAGAGCGUGUAGGCGGCCCGAUAAGUCCGCCGUGAAAGUCCAGGGCUCAACCCUGGAAUGCCGGUGGAAACUGUCUGGCUAGAGUCCGGAAGGGGCGAGUGGAAUUCCUGGUGUAGCGGUGAAAUGCGCAGAUAUCAGGAGGAACACCAAUGGCGAAGGCAGCUCGCUGGGACGGUACUGACGCUGAGGCGCGAAAGCGUGGGGAGCGAACAGG
rnacentral:rRNA from 1 species